CAAACACCGGUUCAACUAUGAUCACUGAAGUUAAGCAACAUUGAGCCUGGUCAGUACCUAGAUGAGUGACCACUUGAGAAUACCAUGUGCUGUAA